rnacentral:lncRNA from 1 species
GUAUACCUUGCCCGAUCAGGUAGCCCUCUAGAACGAAAUCAGUAGCGCGGUCAUCAUAUUUAAAUUGGAUGUAGGAGGGACGCCCCUCUAUGCGGUCAUAGUUGACCUGUACAGGUACAAGCCUGUGUGAGGAACAAAUGGACGGCACCAUAGUGUGUUGAGUGUAUGAGAGAGUCGCACUCUGUAAAAUGUGAUCGCACUCUGAGUCCGCGCACGGUUGGUGGUAUGAG